CUAAUACAAUGAUGAUAACAUAGUUCAGCAGACUAGCACUGAUGAGCACAAUUAUGUCUUUCGCUCCUAUCUGAUGUAUCUG
ensembl:snoRNA